UGAUUGGACUCCUACAAAUACAGAAUUGAUGC
rnacentral:piRNA from 1 species